rnacentral:tRNA from 1 species
GGAAGUGUGCCUGAACAAUUAAGGACUACUUUGAUAGAGUAGACAAUAGAGGUUUAAACCCACUCACUUCC